AUACGUAGGGGGCGAGCGUUGUCCGGAAUGAUUGGGCGUAAAGGGCGCGUAGGCGGCCUGUUAAGUCUGGAGUGAAAGUCCUGUUUUCAAGAUGGGAAUUGCUUUGGAUACUGAUGGGCUUGAGUGCAGGAGAGGUUAUCGGAAUUCCCGGUGUAGCGGUGAAAUGCGUAGAGAUCGGGAGGAACACCAGUGGCGAAGGCGGGUAACUGGACUGCAACUGACGCUGAGGCGCGAAAGUGUGGGGAGCAAACAGGAUUAGAUACCCUGGUAGUCCACACUGUAAACGAUGAAUGCUAGGUGUAAGAGGUAUCGACCCCUUUUGUGCCGGAGUUAACACAAUAAGCAUUCCGCCUGGGGAGUACGGCCGCAAGGUUGAAACUCAAAUGAAUUGACGGUG
rnacentral:rRNA from 1 species